rnacentral:rRNA from 1 species
AUGCUCUGGCUCCGUCGAGGCGUCCUCGCCCAGCUCCCCUCGUCUCCCUUCGCCUCUCCCUUAUCCCGUCUCCGCCGCCUCCUCUCGGCCGCCGCGCCCGCCAUCUCCCCAAGCACCGGGUUCGCCGUGGAGGAGUACCUCGUCUCCACCUGCGGCCUCACGCGAGCACAGGCCGUUAAGGCCUCCCCCAAGCUCUCCCACCUCAGGUCCCCUGCCAAGCCCGACGCCGUCCUGGCCUUCCUCGCCGGCCUCGGCCUCUCCGGCGCCGACGUCGCCGCCCUCGUCGCCAAGGACCCGCAGUUCCUCUGCGCCAAAGUGGAGAAAACCCUGACGCCCGUCGUCGUCGGGCUCUCUGGCCUCGGCUUAUCGCGUCCCGACAUCGCGCUCGUCGUCCCGCUCGCCGCCCACAAAUUCCGCCAGAAAGCAAUGGUCUCCAAGCUGCAGUACUACCUGCGCAUCUUCGGCUCCUUGGACACCUUCCUCCGGGUGAUGAAGUUUGCAAAUGUCCUCUCAUGCAGCGUCGAGAGGGUGAUCAAGCCCAAUGUCGCGUACCUGCUAGAGUGCGGCUUAGGUGAUUGCGAUAUUGCCAAGUUGUGCAUCUCAAGACCGAGGAUGAUCGCCAGCAACCCGGAGCAUGUUCAGGCAAUGGUGGCGUGCGCUGAAAACAUAGGUGUGCCUCGUGGCUCUGGGAUGUUCAGGCAAGCACUUCAGUCUGUUGCAUUCCUCGGCGAGGAGGAGAUCACAAUCACGGUGGCGUACUUGAAGAGCACGUUCAGGUGGACGGAUGCUGAGGUGGGCAUGGCUGUUUCUAAGUUUCCACCGGUGCUGAGGAGGUCCAAGAAAUCACUGCAGCGCACAUUUGAGUUCCUCAUCUCUGAGGUGGGCUUGGAAUCGGCAUACAUUGCUCAUCGACCCGUACUGCUAGGUCUCAGCCUAGAGGGCCGGCUCAGGCCCCGAUACUACGCUGUAAAGUUUCUCAAGGAAAAUGGAUUGCUCAAGUGUGACCCAAGCUACUAUACUGUUUUCAAGGAGUCCGACAUGACAUUCAAGAAGAAGUUCAUACACCCUCAUAAGGAAGCUGCACCGCACCUUGAAAAAGACUACGAUGCUGCUUGCAAAGGGGAAGUGCCCACUGAUUUCAGAUUCACAUAA